GGGAUAUCAUUUUUUUUUUUUUUUAAAUUGUUUACUUAUAAUGAUAUCCUAAAAGCAAUAUUUGAUAAAAAUGAUUCUCCGUCUCUGCCACUCCCGCCUUCUUCCAUCGUUUUCCUUUUUCGCCUCACGGUCUCCUUUCACUGGCCGCUCCGCUAGCGGAUCUCAGGUUUGCUUAAAUUCAUCUUGUUUUGCCUGGAUUCAAUUGUGUGGAUUGUUGUAAUCCGAAUGAUAUAUCUUGGACGAGCUUCUUUCAUUUGUUAUUGUUCUUCUGAGUCUAUAGAUUGGCGCCGUUUCCUAGAUGUGUCCUUAAUUAGGUUAUUAUCAGCAUAAUAUCUGCGGAGAAGCGGAAAUUCUACGUACGAGAAUCAGGGGAACGGUGGAUUAUGGCUAAUAUCACAUCUCUAAUGAUCUCCAUUCGCCAAAACUCACGACUUGUCAAAAACCUUAGGAUCCACAUCCGGAAUCUCUCGGUGGAAAUGAAUGGAGGCAAAGAUGGGUGUGAAGAGAUUAAUCUGAGUGAGAAAUUGUUGAACCCUACUCACAGCCAAGACGUCACUGAGAUAUCUAAAGAGGUUUGUAAGGUCAUCAGGAGCAAACCCAAAUGGGAGCAGACUCUGCUCUCUGAUUACCCUUCUUUCAAUUUCCACGACCCUUCUUUUUUUCGCGAGCUAUUGAAGCAGUUAAACAAUGUUUUGCUUUCGUUGAGGUUUUUUCUUUGGCUGAGUUCUCAGCCUGAGUUCUUGCCCCAUCCAGUCAGCUGUAACACGCUUUUUGAUGCCCUUUUGGAGGCCAAGGCUUGUGUUCCCGCUAAAUCUUUUCUUCAUUCUUUCGGUUUUAGUCCGGAGCCUGCUUCUUUGGAGAAUUACAUUCGAUGUGUUUGCGAGGGUGGAUUGGUUGAGGAAGCUGUUAAUGUAUUUGAUGUGUUAAAAGAGGCUGGAUAUCGUCCAUCCAUUGAGACAUGGAACUUUGCUUUCCAGAGUUGUCUUAAGUUCGGGAGGAUUGAUCUUAUUUGGAAACUGUAUGCAGAGAUGAUGGAAACUGGUGUGCAAGCGGAUGUGGGGAUUGAGACUGUGGGGUAUCUUAUCCAAGCGCUUUGUAGUGAUAACAACGUUACAAAAGCUUAUGAGCUUCUAAGACAGGCUUUAGAAGAUGGAUUAGCCCCUUCUAAUGAUGCUUUCAACAAAUUGAUUUCUGUGUUCUGUGAGGAGAAGAAUUACGACAGAGUAUCAGAGCUUCUUCACACAAUGAUAGCUAAGAACCGUAAUCCCGAUAUUUUUACCUAUCAGGAAAUCAUUAACAGGCUCUGCAAGAAACACAGGCAGCUGCAGGCAUUUCAGGUUUUUAACAGCCUCAAGGAUCGGGGUUAUGCUCCUGAUAUGGUCAUGUAUACAACAAUGAUUCAUGGCCUUUGUAAGAUGAGCUGGCUUGGAGAUGCUAGAAAGCUGUGGUUUGAGAUGAUUGAUAAGGGAUUUCUUCCAAAUGAAUAUACGUACAACACAUUGAUUUAUGGAUUUUGUAAGAUUGGUAAUUUGGAUGAGGCCUUGAAGCUAUAUAAAGAAAUGCAUGAUAGAGGUUAUAAAGAAACCACUCUGAGCUGCAACACUGUGAUUGCAGGUUUGUGUCUACAUGGAAGGACAGACGAAGCAUACAACUUCUUUCGAGAAAUGCCUUGCAGGGACGUAGUUUGCGAUGUUGUAACAUACAAUACCCUGAUUCAAGGAUUUUGCAGAGAGGGGAAGAUACUGCAAUGCAGAGACCUAUUGAAGGAGCUGCUAGAGAAGGGGUUGCAGCCUUCAACUUCCUCUUAUACUCAUCUCAUUCAAAAGCUUUGUCAAGUGGGUGAUGUGCAAGAAGCAAAGAAAAUGUGGAAUGACAUGCAUAAUAGAGGUCUUCAGCCAAUGGUGUGCACUCGCGAUCACAUCAUUAAUGGAUUAUGUGAGCAAGGAUGUGCGGUAGAGGGGGUGGAGUGGUUGAUGACUAUGUUGAAGAGCAAUCUCAAGCCUCAAAAGCAAACUUUUGAUAAGUUGGUUCAGAGUCUCACUCAAAUAGGUAAAUUAGAUGAUUCUUUAUUGGUCAUAGGCUCAAUGUUUAGAGUAGGUUAUAAACUAGAAGAAGGCACUCUCAGUUGUCUCUUGAAUAAACUAUGUGAAAACAAGUAUCAGUUUGCUGAAUCACAAUUAGAGGAAAUCAUAAAUUUCAAUUAGUAGGAGAAUCUAGAAAGUGCGGAGAUUGGACGCUGUUGAACUUGCUUAGAAGUGCCUGUCAUCGAUGGUUUAAGGUAGAUCUGAAGGCUGAUUUGGGUCGUAAAUUUGCUUGUUGGGGUGGACCAUCCAUCUGCAUGAAUAUAUCCAAGUUUCUUUCAGAGGGAAUGGGGCAAAUUGAUGAACUUUAUUACUCAUCUUUAAACCAUGUUCUGGAUCAUGCUUCUCAUUUACGCCCGAGGAACUCAUUGAAGCUGGAAGCAUAUGAGAAGAGGUCUUUUCAACCCGAAACCUGUUCUUGCAUCGACCAAAUAGCCUUUCCAACUCCUCGUGUCAGCUGGGAAGAAUGAACUCAACUUGAUGUGGAAAGAGUUUAGAACCUUGUGUUUUAUCAAAGAACUCUCGGUUAUGGCAGGGCAGGUAGGGAACCUCUACACAACUUGCAGUGUUUGCUUUGCUUUCAUUCAGGCGUUCAUUAGCUGCAGUUAGAAUUUUAAGAUGACGGCAAAACUUUGAAAGAACUGACAGACAGUGACAAAUCCUCUAGCAAUUUUUUCCCCACUUUCUCUGAUUGAUCAACUGCUCUUUGCUAAGGCCGAUUUCCCCUAGUUUACAAAAUAUGUUGGAUCAUUCUCAUCUUCGAAACACAGCUCUCCA